rnacentral:lncRNA from 1 species
UUUGUUAGCUAAAUGAAAAUCAUAAGAAGUCAAAUUUUCAUGUAAUGUUACUUCUGUAUAUAUAGGUGUAUUUCAUUCAUAAAUUGAUUUACUGCCAUUUAUAUAUUUCUCUACUACCAUUUUGUAGUACAUGCUUCCGCGGCUACAAAAACAAUUGCUUACACCUCUUAUCUUUGAAUUAGGUGAGUCGGCAGAAUUGAAAAUUUCUUUUAAUCUAAUAAGUUUUAUGUCUAAACAUUACGUGUUUGAAUACCAAGAUCAACAUCAAGUAGAUGUGAUGUAAGCAGAAAAGUUUUUUCCACCACACUGAUUACUUCAAAUAGAGGUAUGUCUAUCUUUGUUAGGCCAAUAUCACAUUUAACUUAACUUAUUUAUAAUAGUAAUUAUAGUUUACCAUCUACAGGUAAAAAAAGGAUUUGAAAUCAAUUAACAGAGUGGUAAUCUUUUGCCAAAGAAAGACUCUGCACUCCGCAACAAG